rnacentral:tRNA from 1 species
GUCCCCGUAGUUAAACGGAUAUAACAAGCCCCUCCUAAGGCUAGUUACUGGUUCGAUUCCAGUCGGGGACGCCA